CUGAAUACGAAAUUAAGUGUGCUGGGAGUCUUGCAGCCUGGUACUUUAACUUCUGUUGAAGUCAAGUUUCCUUUCAAGUGGAACUUUAAAACCAACAAGCAGGCACCAGCCAUCUCUGGCAGAAGGCCCUAGCCCCACCACCCCGCCGCAGGGCUGAAGUCCUGAGCUCCCCCACAUCUGGCCCUGGGAAGCACAGAAUAUCAGAGCAAAGUGCAUACCAGCCAUGGCCUCAAUCCACCUCAAUCCACCCCUAUGUGCCGCAGUCUGGGAGCAGGGUCUUACCACCAGCUCCACACAGGUUGGAGAGGCCCCCUGUGUAGGUGGG